AAGACCUUGCGCUUUUGGAGCGGCCGAUGCCUGAUUAGCUUGUUGGUAAGGUAAAAGCUUACCAAGGCUUCGAUCAGUAGCUGGUCUGAGAGGACGGCCAGCCACACUGGGACUGAGACACGGCCCAGACUCCUACGGGAGGCAGCAGUGGGGAAUUUUGGACAAUGGGGGCAACCCUGAUCCAGCCAUGCCGCGUGAGUGAAGAAGGCCUUCGGGUUGUAAAGCUCUUUCAGCCGGAACGAAACGGUUACGGUUAAUACCCGUGAUUACUGACGGUACCGGAAGAAGAAGCACCGGCUAACUACGUGCCAGCAGCCGCGGUAAUACGUAGGGUGCGAGCGUUAAUCGGGAUUACUGGGCGUAAAGCGUGCGCAGGUGGUUUUGUAAGUCAGAUGUGAAAGCCCCGGGCUCAACCUGGGAACU
rnacentral:rRNA from 1 species